ACCUUCGUGGUGUAACGGUAGCACACUCGACGCGUAUCUGAGAGGUCCAGGUUCGAGUCCCGGCGAGGGCU
rnacentral:tRNA from 1 species